rnacentral:rRNA from 1 species
AGUGAACGCUGGCGGUAGGCCUAACACAUGCAAGUCGAACGGCAGCACAGUAAGAGCUUGCUCUUACGGGUGGCGAUUUGCGGACGGGUGAGGAAUACAUCGGAAUCUACUUUUUCGUGGGGGAUAACGUAGGGAAACUUACGCUAAUACCGCAUACGACCUACGGGUGAAAGCAGGGGAUCUUCGGACCUUGCGCGAUUGAAUGAGCCGAUGUCGGAUUAGCUAGUUGGCGGGGUAAAGGCCCACCAAGGCGACGAUCCGUAGCUGGUCUGAGAGGAUGAUCAGCAACACUGGAACUGAGACACGGUCCAGACUCCUACGGGAGGCAGCAGUGGGGAAUAUUGGACAAUGGGAGCAAGCCUGAUCCAGCCAUACCGCGUGGGUGAAGAAGGCCUUCGGGUUGUAAAGCCCUUUUGUUGGGAAAGAAAAGCAGCAGGUUAAUACCCCGCUGUUCUGACGGUACCCAAAGAAUAAGCACAGGCUAACUUCGUG